UGGGGAAUCUUGGACAAUGGGGGCAACCCUGAUCCAGCCAUGCCGCGUGAGUGAUGAAGGCCUUAGGGUCGUAAAGCUCUUUCGCCUGUGAAGAUAAUGACGGUAGCAGGUAAAGAAACCCCGGCUAACUCCGUGCCAGCAGCCGCGGUAAUACGGAGGGGGUUAGCGUUGUUCGGAAUUACUGGGCGUAAAGCGCACGUAGGCGGACCAGAAAGUUGGGGGUGAAAUCCCGGGGGCUCAACCCCGGAACUGCCUCCAAAACUAUUGGUCUAGAGUUCGAGAGAGGUGAGUGGAAUUCCAAGUGUAGAGGUGAAAUUCGUAGAUAUUUGGAGGAACACCAGUGGCGAAGGCGGCUCACUGGCUCGAUACUGACGCUGAGGUGCGAAAGUGUGGGGAGCAAAACAGGAUUAGAUACCCCUGGUAGUCCACACCGUAAAACGAUGAAUGCCAGUCGUCGGGGUAGCAUGCUAUUCGGUGACACACCUAACGGAUUAAGCA
rnacentral:rRNA from 1 species